UACAGGGGGUGCAAACGUUGCUCGGAAUCAUUGGGCGUAAAGCGCACGUAGGCGGUUCGUUAUGUCGGAUGUGAAAGCCCUUGGCUUAACCGAGGAAGUGCAUCCGAAACUGGCGAGCUAGAGUACGAAAGAGGAUCGCGGAAUUCCCGGUGUAGAGGUGAAAUUCGUAGAUAUUGGGAAGAACACCGGUGGCGAAGGCGGCUCACUGGCUCGUAACUGACGCUCAGGCGCGACAGCGUGGGGAUCAAACAGG
rnacentral:rRNA from 1 species